AGUCACUGACAUUACGAUACCCCUGUAGUCCUAGCCGUAAACGAUACUCGCUAGGUGUCGGCCACGGUGCGACCGUUGUCGGUGCCGUAGGGAAGCCGUGAAGCGAGCCACCUGGGAAGUACGGCCGCAAGGCUGAAACUUAAGGAAUUGGCGGGGAGCACAACAACGGGUGGAGCUUUGCGGUUUAAUUGGAUUCAACGCCGGAAAUCUUACCGGGACCGACAGCAACAUGAAGGCCAAGCUGAAGACUUUGCCGGAUUAGCUG
rnacentral:rRNA from 1 species